GCCCCUUUAGCACAGUGGUAGUGCGUCGCACUUGUAGGAACGCUUACGUAAGCAAUGCGAAGGUCGGUUGUUCAAUCCAGCCAGGGGGCA